UACGUAGGAGGCGAGCGUUUGUCCGGAAUUACUGGGUGUAAAGCGCGUGUAGGCGGUGAGUUAAGUCUGUUGUGAAAGCGCCCGGCUCAACCGGGCAGAGUCAAUGGAAACUAGCGCACUGGAGGUCGGUAGAGGCGAGUGGAAUUCCCGGUGUAGUGGUGAAAUGCGUAGAGAUCGGGAGGAACACCAGUGGCGAAGGCGGCUCGCUGGGCCGGACCUGACGCUGAGACGCGAAGGCGUGGGAGGCGAACGGG
rnacentral:rRNA from 1 species